rnacentral:rRNA from 1 species
ACAUUCUAUACGGAGUUACAAAGGAACGAGGUAGACGAAGCGACCUGGAAAGGUCCGUCACAGAGGUUAACAACCCCGUAGUCGAAACUUCGUUCUCUCUUGAAUGUAUCCUGAGUACGUCGGAACACGUGAAAUUCCGUCGGAAUCUGGGAGGACCAUCUCCCAAGGCUAAAUACUCCCUAGUGAUCGAUACUGAACCAGUACCGUGAGGGAAAGGUGAAAAGCACCCC